rnacentral:rRNA from 1 species
UACGGAGGAUGCAAGCGUUAUCCGGAAUGAUUGGCGUAAAGCGUCCGCAGGUGGCUGUGUAAGUCUGCUGUUAAAGAGUCUAGCUCAACUAGAUAAAGGCAGUGGAAACUACACGGCUAGAGUGCGUUCGGGGCAGAGGGAAUUCCUGGUGUAGCGGUGAAAUGCGUAGAGAUCAGGAAGAACACCGGUGGCGAAGGCGCUCUGCUAGGCCGCAACUGACACUGAGGGACGAAAGCUAGGGGAGCGAAUGGG